UUUAUAUAUUAGAUAUUAGUUUUUUUCAAUUAAAUAAAUAGGAAAAUUUUAAAAUAAAAAAAAAUCUGAAACAUCAUUUCUCUCUCCCUCUUUUCCUCUAUCUUCCCCGAAGCCUCAUUCUCUCUCUCACUGUGUUGCCUCUGCCAAGCCCGAACGGCCAUCGUCCCAUCGCCGGAGCCGUACACGCGCCAGCCCAAUCGAACCGCCGGCCCUCGAAACGUCGACCCCCGCGAGCUCACCACCAUACGCGCUGCCCAGGGCUGUCAACCAACGGUCCGAAGCCGUCCGCCUCUUGCACUUUCCGGAACAUCUGCUUGUCCAAAUGGAAGAUUCUAUUGUCAAAAUGCAGGGCAUGCUCCUAAAGUGUUAUUCUACUAGAGUGAAUGAUGGUAUAUGCGGAUGUUGUGGGCGUCCAUGACAGUUUAGCUGCUGAAGCUGAACAUGGUGAUGCUUCCAGAAAGGAAAGGUCCUCAGUUCAAGGUGUAGAACAGGUCUAUAUUGAGAUGCAUUUCUUUGGUGUAAUGCUAGGCAACAUUGACAGUUGAAGUUUUUAGAAUAAAAUAUAUAUUUCACUAACAUUGUA